GAGAGUUAAAUAGUACGUGAAAUUGUUGAAAGGGAAACGAUUGAAGUCAGUCAUGCUAGUGAAAAUUCAGUUUGACGGGUUUUGGGUUUGGGAGUAGAGGCAGGGUCAAACCGUUUCUCUUUUGAACUUGGGAUUUGUCAGAUGCACUUUUUCUUUGGCAGGUCAGCGUCGAUUUCGGAGGUUGUAAAAUACUUGGGGUAAAGUAACUCUGCUUCGGUAGAGUAUUAUAGACCUUGAGGGAUGCAGCCUGCGGGAUCGAGGAUUGCAGCAAAUGCCUUUGGCUUGGCGCCUGAUCUCUGGAUGUUACCUCGCUUGUGACAACAUUCUUGCCUCCGGUGAGUACUAAUGCCCAUUAGGUUAGAGCGACCAGAAAUUUGCUAAGGAUGCUGACGUAAUGGCUUUAAACGA
rnacentral:rRNA from 1 species